ACCAGGAUGGCCGAGUGGUUAAGGCGUUGGACUUAAGAUCCAAUGGACAGCUGACAUCGUGGGUUCGAGCCCCACUCCUGGUA